AUUGAACGCUAGCGGGAUGCUUUACACAUGCAAGUCGAACGGCAGCGCGGACUUCGGUCUGGCGGCGAGUGGCGAACGGGUGAGUAAUGUAUCGGAACGUGCCCAGUAGCGGGGGAUAACUACGCGAAAGCGUAGCUAAUACCGCAUACGCCCUACGGGGGAAAGCAGGGGAUCGUAAGACCUUGCACUAUUGGAGCGGCCGAUAUCGGAUUAGCUAGUUGGUGAGGUAACGGCUCACCAAGGCGACGAUCCGUAGCUGGUUUGAGAGGACGACCAGCCACACUGGGACUGAGACACGGCCCAGACUCCUACGGGAGGCAGCAGUGGGGAAUUUUGGACAAUGGGGGCAACCCUGAUCCAGCCAUCCCGCGUGUGCGAUGAAGGCCUUCGGGUUGUAAAGCACUUUUGGCAGGAAAGAAACGUCGCGGGCUAAUACCCCGUGGAACUGACGGCACCUGCAGAAUAAGCACCGGCUAACUACGUG
rnacentral:rRNA from 1 species